GCAUACCUGCCAUAUAGGGUUUUGGUCAUACAGGGGAUUGUGGGAUAUGUGUGCCUGCUGUGGAUGCACAGACACACUCAGAAAGUAAACAAAAGGCUCAGAAUGUCAGGGAUUACUUGUUGUGUCUCUGGAUGCUUCAGUAACCAUCUCUGUUUUAAAUGUU